ACUUAUGUAGUUUAAUAAAAACAUUACAUUUUCAAUGUAAGGAUAAAAUUUAAUUUUCUUAAGUA
rnacentral:tRNA from 1 species